rnacentral:rRNA from 1 species
AGAGUUUGAUCAUGGCUCAGGAUGAACGCUGGCGGCGUGCCUAAUACAUGCAAGUCGAGCGAACAGACAAGGAGCUUGCUCCUUUGACGUUAGCGGCGGACGGGUGAGUAACACGUGGGUAACCUACCUAUAAGACUGGGAUAACUUCGGGAAACCGGAGCUAAUACCGGAUAAUAUUUCGAACCGCAUGGUUCGAUAGUGAAAGAUGGUUUUGCUAUCACUUAUAGAUGGACCCGCGCCGUAUUAGCUAGUUGGUAAGGUAACGGCUUACCAAGGCGACGAUACGUAGCCGACCUGAGAGGGUGAUCGGCCACACUGGAACUGAGACACGGUCCAGACUCCUACGGGAGGCAGCAGUAGGGAAUCUUCCGCAAUGGGCGAAAGCCUGACGGAGCAACGCCGCGUGAGUGAUGAAGGUCUUCGGAUCGUAAAACUCUGUUAUUAGGGAAGAACAUACGUGUAAGUAACUAUGCACGUCUUGACGGUACCUAAUCAGAAAGCCACGGCUAACUACGUGCCAGCAGCCGCGGUAAUACGUAGGUGGCAAGCGUUAUCCGGAAUUAUUGGGCGUAAAGCGCGCGUAGGCGGUUUUUUAAGUCUGAUGUGAAAGCCCACGGCUCAACCGUGGAGGGUCAUUGGAAACUGGAAAACUUGAGUGCAGAAGAGGAAAGUGGAAUUCCAUGUGUAGCGGUGAAAUGCGCAGAGAUAUGGAGGAACACCAGUGGCGAAGGCGACUUUCUGGUCUGUAACUGACGCUGAUGUGCGAAAGCGUGGGGAUCAAACAGGAUUAGAUACCCUGGUAGUCCACGCCGUAAACGAUGAGUGCUAAGUGUUAGGGGGUUUCCGCCCCUUAGUGCUGCAGCUAACGCAUUAAGCACUCCGCCUGGGGAGUACGACCGCAAGGUUGAAACUCAAAGGAAUUGACGGGGACCCGCACAAGCGGUGGAGCAUGUGGUUUAAUUCGAAGCAACGCGAAGAACCUUACCAAAUCUUGACAUCCUUUGACAACUCUAGAGAUAGAGCCUUCCCCUUCGGGGGACAAAGUGACAGGUGGUGCAUGGUUGUCGUCAGCUCGUGUCGUGAGAUGUUGGGUUAAGUCCCGCAACGAGCGCAACCCUUAAGCUUAGUUGCCAUCAUUAAGUUGGGCACUCUAAGUUGACUGCCGGUGACAAACCGGAGGAAGGUGGGGAUGACGUCAAAUCAUCAUGCCCCUUAUGAUUUGGGCUACACACGUGCUACAAUGGACAAUACAAAGGGCAGCGAAACCGCGAGGUCAAGCAAAUCCCAUAAAGUUGUUCUCAGUUCGGAUUGUAGUCUGCAACUCGACUACAUGAAGCUGGAAUCGCUAGUAAUCGUAGAUCAGCAUGCUACGGUGAAUACGUUCCCGGGUCUUGUACACACCGCCCGUCACACCACGAGAGUUUGUAACACCCGAAGCCGGUGGAGUAACCAUUUGGAGCUAGCCGUCGAAGGUGGGACAAAUGAUUGGGGUGAAGUCGUAACAAGGGUAACCGUAAAAC